UUAGGUUUGCGACGACCCUUUGUUAUUUCUAAUAGAGUUUGCUAUUUCACUUUUGCAGGAGAAGUCAAGGCCAAAAUAGAAAAGGUAUAAUAUAAUCUGUUCUGCACUUUUGGUGUCUGCAUGUGUAGCCAAUUAUAUUGUUCAAUGAGGCAUUAUGUGAUAAGUAUUGCAUGUUAGAGAUUCUUAUAGUUUCUCAGUUGUCUCUGUAUGCAUUAGAACUUCUUGAUGUUAGUACUGAGCAAUAUAUUUCACUAGAAUGCGAGUUCUUUUAGAAUCUAUGGGGUUUAUUUAACAGUUAAUCAUGACAGAAGCCCAAAUCUUGCGUUAUUCCUGCUGUUGAGGUUGAACAUCCUGGAUGUUCAUUCAAUCCUCAUCCUGAGAGCCAUCAGGAUACCUUAGCUCGUGCUGUUGCAGAUGAAAUGCAGAAAAUUUACCAACAUGAAUUGGGGCCUCAGCCCAUCCCUUUAGUUGUCCCUGGUGAAGCUAUUGAUGAAUAUGUUCGUACUUCAUCCCGAACUGGUCACUUGAAGUGGAAAUGAAUAUUGUCCCUCCAUAUUCAUGUGCUUUCACUUAUUUGCAUAUGAAGUUUUCAUGCACUUCCCUCUUAUAUGCGUCAGAAAUAUUUCCUUGAGGCAGAUGCGGAUGAUGGAACUGAUGAUGAUGAUGAUGAACAAAAUGAAAAUCAGGCUGAUGAUGGAGAUGUGGAUACAGAAAAGAGCUCUUAGAAAACCAAAAGGGUGACUCGGGUAUAAUUUAACCGGAGAGCUAGACGAAAGGAGCAGUUGAGAAUUGAAGCAGAAGCGAAAAAAGUGAAGGGACUUUCAAAAGACAUAGAUGCUCAUCAACCCAUUGUGAAAUCGAGGAUUGCAAAAAAGCUGCAGGGUAAAAGGACGCAGAUGCUCAUCAACCCAUGGAGCAUAGGAUGUAAACAAUAGGACUUGUUUCCUUCUUUCAUUUUCUUUCUUUUUAGGAAGACACUUCGAAUUAUAUGUUUAUCAAUGUAUCUAUCAUUGUAUGCGAUACAUGAAAAGAUUGUAUUUCAUAAUUCAUUAUAUUUGAUUCAUAUAAUGUAUGAUAUGCUAUUUUAUAUUUUUA